GAUGAACGCUGGCGGAGUGCCUAACACAUGCAAGUCGAGCGGCAGCGCGAGUAGUUUACUACUUGGCGGCGAGCGGCGGACGGCUGAGUAACGCGUGGGAACAUGCCCCAAAGUGAGGAAUAACUGCCCGAAAGGGUAGCUAAUGCCGCAUACGAUCUUCGGAUUAAAGGAUUUAUCCGCUUUGGGAGUGGCCUGCGUACGAUUAGAUAGUUGGUGAGGUAAUGGCUCACCAAGUCUACGAUCGUUAACUGGUUUGAGAGGAUGAUCAGUCAGACUGGAACUGAGACACGGUCCAGACUCCUACGGGAGGCAGCAGUGAGGAAUCUUCCACAAUGGACGAAAGUCUGAUGGAGCAACUCCGCGUGCAGGAUGAAGGCCUUCGGGUCGUAAACUGCUUUAUGAGUGAAGAAUAUGACGGUAACUCAUGAAUAAGGGUACGGCUAACUACGUGCCAGCAGCCGCGGUAAU
rnacentral:rRNA from 1 species